CUGAGGCUGAGUGCCUAAUAGAAAAUACUGAGAGCAUGUGCUGGGGGAAUGGUUUCCUUCUAAAUUCUAAAUGAUUCCUUGAAAAGCCUAGAUUUAGUAAGAACACCUUUACUUUCCAAAGAAAUUUUAAGUGAGUUGUGCAUUAGGAUCUUCAUGCAGGGUUGAGGAAGGAAGAUAGGGUACUUACAGCAUAGUUUCUCCAGUAUUAGCAUCUUAGGUGCUUUAAUAGCAAGUACUACCUGAAGCUUUUCCUACAGCUGGAGAAUUUUUAUCAUCUGCUUUGCAGAUUUUCUGCCUUGCGGAGUGAGAUCAUGGGUUCAUUUUUGCAGAAGCUUUGCUCUUCUUCUGUCCACCUAUAUUCUUCAAAACUGGGCUGAUUGUUAAUUCUUUUCCUGAGGGCUGCAAAUCCACCCAUAAGAACCUUUCUGUCAGGAGUGAGCUCCCUGAAUUUGGAGGGGACGACCAAAAGACACGCCGACACCAUGAAGCUGCAGGGAGGUUUCCUUCAGGAAGCUUCUCUAGGAUUGUAUCAUCCACAGAUAUAAUACAGAUCCAAGGGAUGAAACGCAUCUCCUACAAGGACAGGCUGAGUGAGCUGGAGCUGUACAGCCUGGAAAAGAGAAGGCUCUGGAGAGACCUUAUAGCAGGCCUUUGGUAUCUGAAGGAGGUCUGUAUGAAAGAAGGGG
rnacentral:lncRNA from 1 species